CACGAUGGUUAUCGUGAUGAGUGUCCACACA
rnacentral:sRNA from 1 species